rnacentral:sRNA from 1 species
AUCGCGUUGAAAGCAAUGCACAUGAUACCUAUAACGGGUU